GCCUGUUGCACAAAAGUAGAAUUAAGACAUCCGGGAUAAAUGACUCAGCUGAGCUCAAUGAAGCCAAAACAUGUGCGUCCAGGCUUAAUUGGUUGCACAAAGACCAAGCCAGGAUGAGCAGACACGGAUUCAUUAAACCAGGUGAAACCAAUCCUGGAUAGGUGCGCGCUCACGGCUCACUCAAAUAGACCCCGCCACAGAUCACAGAUUAACUGAUUUACCAUGGCAACUAGAGCCGCGUACUUUUCCCCGUCGGAAGCACAAAUCCUCAUGGAGGCAUACGAGGAGGUAAAAGAUAUAAUUAAGAAGAAAGGCAACACCGCCACAGUGAUAAAGCAAAGAGAAAAAGCGUGGCAAAGUAUUGCAGACCGCCUGAAUGCGUAAGUAGUGCACAAUUACACACUCACCGCUCCGCUGAAACAUCACAAUUACAAUUCAAAUAUUUAAUUCACAUCUCCAAAAAUGCAGUUGUACUGUAAUUAUGAAACGGUUAAAUUUUUAAUUGAAAUGCACUGCAGAUAUGAGUGAAAUUGUGUAAAGUAACUCCAUCACACUGUAUAAAGCUAUGAUACAUUUUUUGAUAUUUUUACUGAAAACAAGACAAAAAUACCAAGUAAUUUUUGCAGUGUGACUCCAUUAAAUGUGUGUGUGUGUGUGUGUGUGUGUGUGUGUGUGUGUGUGUGUGUGUGUGUGUGUGUGUGUGUGUGUGUGUGUGUGUGUGUGUGUGUAGAUUAAACAUGAACGGGCCAAAACGGACAUGGCAGCAGGUCAAAAUCAAAUACAAGAACAUUCUGCAGAAUGCAGUGAAAAAGAAUACCCACAGACAAGGCACGGGUGGUGGGUCACCAAAGGCUGACCUUACCCCAGCAGAGGACAUGGCCUUGGAGCUAAAUAAAGGCAGGCCCGUCUUAGAGGGGAUCCCUGGGGGGGAAAGAGACGAGCAUAGGUUCCUCCCAAGAUGCCACCCGCUUCAUUCAAGUGCCUGGCAGCACUGUGUUCCUGUUAGAGCCACCAGCACAAGCACCAGACGAUGCUGAUCCAGGUGAAGGCCCCAGUGCAGCAGCAACAGCACAUGAUGGAGACGAUGAUGAGGAGGAGACCAUCUCUCUGGAUUCCAGAAGGCAUGAGGACCCAGAUGCUAUACAGUGGGAAAACCAGCCUGGCAACAUAGUGCGUAUUAAUAAAAGGACACCACAUCCUGCCAAAUUCCAGCUGCGCUAAUUGUAUUGUGUUCACAGAGCUCACAAGCUAUCAGAAAGUUGUAUGGCAACCACCUCCGGCGCCAAAUAGAACUGGCAGACAUAGACAUUCAGUACAAGAAGAAAAAGAUGGAAAAUCUUGCACUGGAGUCCGAAAUAAAAAAGAGGACAAUUAGGAAACUGGACCUUGAAAUAAAAAAACUUGAGAGGGAGCUCCAAGAAGAUGACACAGCUCAAAAUAAAAAUUAGCAAUCAGUACAACCAAGUCAUCGUUAUAAGGCAUCGCCCUCUUUUGCCCACCCCCCCAGCACCAGGUGUGGCCACUAGCCUAUAUGAAGGCCCAAAAUUGUGUGUUCCUUUCUGCUCUGACAAUGGCAUGCCCAUUCGUGCGAGAUGUGGUGGAUGAAGAAGCACUUGUGCUGAGGAGAGCCUUCAGGCGAGAAAGGGUCUUCAGGGACCGGUUGGACCCACUGGCCUUCCCUGAUGACCAUCUAUAUGAAAGAUACAGGUUUUCUGCAGAUGGCAUCAGGUAUCUAUGCAGACUACUGGGUCCCAGGAUUAAGCACCGCACUGCACGGAGCCAUGCACUGAGUGUGGAGCAAAUGGUUUGUGUGGCCUUGCGCUUUUUUGCUAGUGGAGCCUUCCUGUACUCAGUGGGGAUGCAGAACAGCUGAACAAGGCCACAAUUUGCCGCACAAUAAGGAGUGUGUGUCUGGCUAUCAAAGCAUUAGCAGAUGUCUUCAUCUCCUUCCCUGGCCACAGAAGACUCUGUGACAUCAAAGAGGAGUUCUAUAGGAUUGCAGAUGGUCUGCAAUGCUGACUGUGUGAUCAGCAAUGUUGUGGCAAAAUGGCCUGGCUCAGUCCAUGACUCCAGAAUCUUUCGGGCCUCUGAAAUCUAUCAGUGCCUAUCACAAGGUGAAUUCUCUGGUGUGUUGCUGGGAGACAGGGGGUAUGGCUGCCAGCCUUUUCUCCUGACACCUUUCACAGACCCCAGGAAGCACAGCAGGCCUACAACCAUGCCCAUGCCAGGACCAGGGCCAGAGUUGAAAUGACCUUUGGCCUCCUGAAGGCACGCUUUCACUGCCUUCACAAAUUAAGGGUCAGCCCUGUUAGGGCAUGUGAUAUUACUGUGGCUUGUGCUGUCCUCCACAAUGUGGCCUGCCUGAGGAAGGAGAGGGCCCCCAGAGUGCCACCAGCCAUGGACUGGGACAAUCCGGCAAUCUUCCCUGAUGACGACAGUGGUCGGCUGCUGAGGGACCAAUAUGUGUUGAAUUAUUUUAGUUAGUAUGUGUGCUUUCAAUUUUGGUUAAAUAUGUCCUGCGGUGGCAGAGGAAUUUGGGUUUUUUUGGGUUCGUUUUUUGACGAAUUUGGCCUCUUAUGAUGUUUGUGCGGUAUACUGUGUGUAAUACAAGGCUGCAGGGAGGCUACUGCAUCCAUUCAUUUGUCUGUUCAGUUGAUGUGUAUGGAUUUGUCCUGCAUUUAUUUUAGUGUGCAGACAUGCAGGGUGUGUUAUAUACAGACCUUUGAAUGUGUAUGUAUCAUUUUGUAUAAUAUGCUUGGAUUCUGUGCUUUCCAUCUUGUAGAGUCACUGUGACUUCAGUUUCGAAAGGAGCUGAUGGUUUACCUGCUUUGUUUUGUCCUUAUUCAAUAAAGGAACAUAAUGUUACACAUUGUGUUUUUAUAUUCA